rnacentral:rRNA from 1 species
AGCCCACCAGCUAGCUCCAUCCCUAAAUCACAACAACCCAUUAUCAAUACCCUUAAACAACCUAAGUUGACUCUAAGCCAAAUCAUUUUACCACUCAAGUAUGGGCGACAGAAAAAGACCUGCCGAAGCAAUAGCAAUAGUACCGCAAGGGAACGCUGAAAGAGAAAUGAAAUUAAACCAGUGAAGCACAAAAAAGCAGAGAUUAGUUCUCGUACCUUUUGCAUCAUGAUUUAGCAAGAAAGCGUCAAGCGAAGAGUACUUUAGUUUGACCCCCCGAAACCAAGUGAGCUACUCCAAGACAGCCUUAUAGGGCAAACCCGUCUCUGUAGCAAAAGAGUGGGAAGAGCUUUGAGUAGAGGUGACAGACCUACCGAACUUGGUUAUAGCUGGUUGUCCAAGAAAUGAAUAGGAGUUCAGCCUUUUCCCCUCUUCCCCAUGCACCCCCCCCCCCAAAAAUAUAUGAGAGGGCAAAAGAGUUACUCAAAGGAGGUACAGCUCCUUUGAAAAAAGACACAACUUUGUUAGCAGGGCAAAGAUCAUAACAUCAACAAGGAACCGUGUUCUAGUUGGCCUAAGAGCAGCCACCCAAGCAGAAAGCGUUAAAGCUCACACACACCCCCCCCCCCCNNNNNNNNNNNNNNNCAUCUUAUCCCCCCACUAGUACUGGACUAUUCCAUCCCCCUAUGGAAGAAAUUAUGCUAAUAUGAGUAAUAAGAGACUUAAGACUCUCUCCCAGCACAAGUGUACACCGGAACGAACUAACACCGUAAACUAACGGCCCCAAAAGCAGAGGGAACUGUAACACGAUGACUAAUCCACUAGAAAAGCUUCCACACCUACACCGUUAAUCUCACACUAGAGUGCAUAUAAGGAAAGACUAAAAGGAAGAGAAGGAACUCGGCA